CGAACGAGUUCUGAUUAUUGAAAGGUGCUUGCAUCUUGAUUUAAUUUUGAACGAGUGGCGGACGGGUGAGUAACACGUGGGUAACCUGCCCUUAAGUGGGGGAUAACAUUUGGAAACAGAUGCUAAUACCGCAUAAAUCCAAGAACCGCAUGGUUCUUGGCUGAAAGAUGGCGUAAGCUAUCGCUUUUGGAUGGACCCGCGGCGUAUUAGCUAGUUGGUGAGGUAACGGCUCACCAAGGCAAUGAUACGUAGCCGAACUGAGAGGUUGAUCGGCCACAUUGGGACUGAGACACGGCCCAAACUCCUACGGGAGGCAGCAGUAGGGAAUCUUCCACAAUGGACGCAAGUCUGAUGGAGCAACGCCGCGUGAGUGAAGAAGGCUUUCGGGUCGUAAAACUCUGUUGUUGGAGAAGAAUGGUCGGCAGAGUAACUGUUGUCGGCGUGACGGUAUCCAACCAGAAAGCCACGGCUAACUACGUGCCAGCAGCCGCGGUAAUACGUAGGUGGCAAGCGUUAUCCGGAUUUAUUGGGCGUAAAGCGAGCGCAGGCGGUUUUUUAAGUCUGAUGUGAAAGCCCUCGGCUUAACCGAGGAAGUGCAUCGGAAACUGGGAAACUUGAGUGCAGAAGAGGACAGUGGAACUCCAUGUGUAGCGGUGAAAUGCGUAGAUAUAUGGAAGAACACCAGUGGCGAAGGCGGCUGUCUGGUCUGUAACUGACGCUGAGGCUCGAAAGCAUGGGUAGCGAACAGGAUUAGAUACCCUGGUAGUCCAUGCCGUAAACGAUGAAUGCUAGGUGUUGGAGGGUUUCCGCCCUUCAGUGCCGCAGCUAACGCAUUAAGCAUUCCGCCUGGGGAGUACGACCGCAAGGUUGAAACUCAAAGGAAUUGACGGGGGCCCGCACAAGCGGUGGAGCAUGUGGUUUAAUUCGAAGCAACGCGAAGAACCUUACCAGGUCUUGACAUCUUUUGAUCACCUGAGAGAUCAGGUUUCCCCUUCGGGGGCAAAAUGACAGGUGGUGCAUGGUUGUCGUCAGCUCGUGUCGUGAGAUGUUGGGUUAAGUCCCGCAACGAGCGCAACCCUUAUGACUAGUUGCCAGCAUUUAGUUGGGCACUCUAGUAAGACUGCCGGUGACAAACCGGAGGAAGGUGGGGAUGACGUCAAAUCAUCAUGCCCCUUAUGACCUGGGCUACACACGUGCUACAAUGGAUGGUACAACGAGUUGCGAGACCGCGAGGUCAAGCUAAUCUCUUAAAGCCAUUCUCAGUUCGGACUGUAGGCUGCAACUCGCCUACACGAAGUCGGAAUCGCUAGUAAUCGCGGAUCAGCACGCCGCGGUGAAUACGUUCCCGGGCCUUGUACACACCGCCCGUCACACCAUGAGAGUUUGUAACACCCGAAGCCGGUGGCGUAACCCUUUUAGGGAGCGAGCCGUCUAAGGUGGGACAAAUGAUUAGGGUGAAGUCGUAACAAGGUAGCCGUAGGAGAACCUGCGGCUGGAUCACCUCCUUU
rnacentral:rRNA from 2 species